CUACGUGCCAGCAGCCGCGGUAAUACGUAGGUGGCAAGCGUUGUCCGGAAUUAUUGGGCGUAAAGGGCGCGCAGGCGGCUUCUUAAGCCUGUCUUAAAAGUGCGGGGCUUAACCCCGUGAUGGGAUGGAAACUGGGAAGCUCAGAGUAUCGGAGAGGAAAGCGGAAUUCCUAGUGUAGCGGUGAAAUGCGUAGAUAUUAGGAGGAACACCAGUGGCGAAAGCGGCUUUCUGGACGAAAACUGACGCUGAGGCGCGAAAGCCAGGGGAGCGAACGGGAUUAGAUACCCCGGUAGUCCUGGCCGUAAACGAUGGGUACUAGGUGUAGGAGGUAUCGACCCCUUCUGUGCCGGAGUUAACGCAAUAAGUACCCCGCCUGGGGAGUACGACCGCAAGGUUGAAACUCAAAGGAAUUGACGGGGGCCCGCACAAGCGGUGGAGUAUGUGGUUUAAUUCGACGCAACGCGAAGAACCUUACCAGGUCUUGACAU
rnacentral:rRNA from 1 species